rnacentral:sRNA from 2 species
GCCCAAUUGGCCACGCUAUGAAGACGUCAAGCUGCAGAACACAGCCGUGUCUCCCUGUUCAUCUGACCAGCUAAUCCCAAACUACCAUAAGCCUUGGUUGCUGACCAGGGUUCAGAUGCGGAGGAAUGAACAUCAGUUGGUUUAAGUCAGUUUCCCCUCUGCUCAUCCAUACUCAUAUUUCUCGUCGUGACGUCCCAUCACGGAUUAUCAUCUGGAUCCCUCUCCGUGAUCCUGCAGCGGAACGAGAAAUGUGGCUUGCGCGCUGCGCAGGUCCCACUUUUGUUCCCUCUUCCUCUCCAAGCCACGGCGUGUUGGUGUUGGUCCCGCAACAAACAUUUCUGAGCGUCAAGGAAA